rnacentral:rRNA from 1 species
UAACGGCGAGUGAAGCGGCAAAAGCUCAAAUUUGAAAAUCCUGCGGGAAUUGUUAAUUUGAAGGUUUCGUGGUCUGAGUCGGCCGCUUCCCAAGUCCAUUGGAACAUGGCGCCUGGGAGGGUGAGAGCCCCGUAUGGCGCACGCCGACUCUUUGCACCGCGGCUCCGACGAGUCGAGUUGUUUGGGAAUGCAGCUCUAAGUGGGUGGUAAAUUCCAUCUAAAGCUAAAUAUUGGCGAGAGACCGAUAGCGAACAAGUACAGUGAUGGAAAGAUGAAAAGCACUUUGAAAAGAGAGUGAAACAGCACGUGAAAAUGUUGAAAGGGAAGGGCUUGCAAGCA